rnacentral:rRNA from 1 species
UACAGAGGGGGCAAGCGUUGUUCGGAAUUACUGGGCGUAAAGGGCGCGUAGGCGGGCCAGCCAGUCUGUGGUGAAAGCCUCCAGCUUAACUGGAGAAGUGCCGUGGAUACUGCUGGCCUCGAGGAGGAUAGGGGCAUCUGGAACGGUCGGUGGAGCGGUGAAAUGCGUUGAUAUCGACCGGAACUCCGGUGGCGAAGGCGAGGUGCUGGGUCCUUUCUGACGCUGAUGCGCGAAAGCCAGGGGAGCAAACGGG